UGACCUGCGGAAGGAUCAUUACCGAGUGAGGGCCCUCUGGGUCCAACCUCCCACCCGUGUUUAUUUUACCUUGUUGCUUCGGCGGGCCCGCCUUAACUGGCCGCCGGGGGGCUUACGCCCCCGGGCCCGCGCCCGCCGAAGACACCCUCGAACUCUGUCUGAAGAUUGUAGUCUGAGUGAAAAUAUAAAUUAUUUAAAACUUUCAACAACGGAUCUCUUGGUUCCGGCAUCGAUGAAGAACGCAGCGAAAUGCGAUACGUAAUGUGAAUUGCAAAUUCAGUGAAUCAUCGAGUCUUUGAACGCACAUUGCGCCCCCUGGUAUUCCGGGGGGCAUGCCUGUCCGAGCGUCAUUUCUGCCCUCAAGCACGGCUUGUGUGUUGGGCCCCGUCCUCCGAUCCCGGGGGACGGGCCCGAAAGGCAGCGGCGGCACCGCGUCCGGUCCUCGAGCGUAUGGGGCUUUGUCACCCGCUCUGUAGGCCCGGCCGGCGCUUGCCGAUCAACCCAAAUUUUUAUCCAGGUUGACCUC
rnacentral:rRNA from 1 species